rnacentral:rRNA from 1 species
UAAGGAAUAUUGGACAAUGGUGGCAACACUGAUCCAGCCAUGCCGCGUGCAGGAUGACUGCCCUAUGGGUUGUAAACUGCUUUUGUACGGGAAAAAACCCUCGUUCGUGAACGAGGCUGAUGGUACCGUAAGAAUAAGGAUCGGCUAACUCCGUGCCAGCAGCCGCGGUAAUACGGAGGAUCCAAGCGUUAUCCGGAUUUAUUGGGUUUAAAGGGUGCGUAGGCGGAUUAAUAAGUCAGUGGUGAAAGCCUACAGCUUAACUGUAGAAUUGCCAUUGAUACUGUUAGUCUUGAGUAUAUUUGAAGUGGGCGGAAUGUGCAGUGUAGCGGUGAAAUGCUUAGAUAUUGCACAGAACACCGAUUGCGAAGGCAGCUCACUAAACUAUAACUGACGCUGAGGC